rnacentral:tRNA from 1 species
GCCUUCGUGGUGUAAUGGUCAGCACAUUCGGCGCGUAUUUGAGCGGUCCGUAGUUCGAGUCCCGGCGAGGGUA